GACGAACGCUGGCGGCGUGCUUAACACAUGCAAGUCGAACGGAAAGGCCCUGCUUUUGUGGGGUGCUCGAGUGGCGAACGGGUGAGUAACACGUGAGUAACCUGCCCUUGACUUUGGGAUAACUUCAGGAAACUGGGGCUAAUACCGGAUAGGAGCUCCUGCUGCAUGGAGGGGGUUGGAAAGUUUCGGCGGUUGUGGAUGGACUCGCGGCUUAUCAGCUUGUUGGUGGGGUAGUGGAUUACCAAGGCUUUGACGGGUAGCCGGCCUGUGAGGGUGACCGGCCACAUUGGGACUGAGAUACGGCCCAGACUCCUACGGGAGGCAGCAGUGGGGAAUAUUGCACAAUGGGCGGACGCCUGAUGCAGCAACGCCGCGGGCGUGAUGACGGCCUUCUGGUUGUAAACCGCUUUCGCCUGUGACGAAGCGUGAGUGACGGUAAUGGGUAAAGAAGCACCGGCUAACUACGUG
rnacentral:rRNA from 1 species